AAGCAUCGGAACGUACCUUCGUCGAGGAAAGAUAACGCAGCGAAAGUUCGCGCUAAUACCGCAUACGUCCUGAGGAGAGAAAGCGAAAAGACCGCAAUGCCUCGCGCGAUGAGAGCGGCCGAACGUCAGAUUAGCUAGUUGGUGAAAUAAAGGCUCACCAAGGGCGACGAAUCUGUAGCGGGUCUGAAAGGAUGAUUCCGCCACACUUGGGACUGAGACACGGCCCAGAACUCCUACGGGAGGGCAGCAGUGGGGAAACCUCGGACAAUGGGGGAAAACCCUBGAUYCCAGCCCAUGGCCCGCGUGAGUGAAAGAAAGRGCCUUUUCGGGGUUGGUAAAGCUUCUUUUUSGGGCCGGGGAAAAAAAAAUUGGCACGGGAAUGAAACAGUCUGGUGGUAGAUUGAAUGGGUACCCGGAACUUAAGAAAGCACCCGGCUAAACUAACGUUGCCCAGCAGCCCGCGGUAAAUAACGUAGGGGUGGCGAAGCGUAUAAUUCGGAGAUUCACUGGGGCGUAAAGCGUGCGCAGGCGGUUUUGUAAGACAGGCGUGAAAU
rnacentral:rRNA from 1 species